CACGCUGUAAACGAUGGAUACUAGAUGCGGGAGGUACGACUCCUUCCGUGUCGCAGUUAACACAAUAAGUAUCCCGCCUGGGGAGUACGGCCGCAAGGUUGAAACUCAAAGGAAUUGACG
rnacentral:rRNA from 1 species